AAAACAACCUGGUUUGUUAGGAAUAGGUCCUGGCAACUCAAACCAUCCUUUGUAGCUGCUGACAGUGGAGAAGGGGCCAUGGGGCAGUGUUGACGGGAGCUGCCUUUGUGCCCAACAAUCAAGGAACACACUACUGGUAAGAGCAUAGCAUGGGGCAUGCUGCCCCACAGGAUCGAUGCUGCCUGUGCACAGCAUCCUGACCCAGGUCAGCUUUGUGCUGCUCCUACACUGAACUGCUUCCUUCCCAAAAGGUGCUGCAUUACAAGGAGGUUUCCAGGGUCAGACUUGCUUGUUUCCAAUGGCAAAGGCAGCUCUCGCAGAUGUCCGUUGAUUUGACUGGGGUUGACACAAGCAGCUUGGUGAGCUCAGCUCAACCAGCGUCCCCAGAAAGAGCCUGGCAGCACCUCAGCCAACGGAGCCCAGGGCAAUCCCUGCAGUGCAACAUUGCCACAUCCUCCAGCCAUGUGGAGCCUCCCAGAGCCUGGGAAUGCUGAGAGGUGAGUUUGGAGGAUAAACAGCAUUGGAGGAUGAGCAGAUUUAACUGCCCUCCAGGAGGAAGUGUCCAAAAGUGCCUCUUUUCUUCAGUGAUCUGGCAUCUCAGCCCAAUUAUGGGAGAAUUAUAGAGCAAUGAUGCAUUUGCCUUUUAUUAAUGGUGACAAGCACAUUGACAGUCUGUUCCCCAAUUAACUAUGAUCCAGCAGAGGGGAACAACAGGGAUAGCUGGGAAUACCUGGCAUCUCCUCCUGGCUUUGAUGCCUUGUGGUAGCCUUGGAGCAGUUCUUUGUUGGAAGCUGAGGAUGCCAUGCCAUCCCUUGGGAAUGCUGGCAGUGCUGCUGCUAUUUGGCACUGCCACAGCUCUUCCUCAGCACAGAUCUGGGCCAGCUCAAGGGUUGCCAUUGCCAGUGCAUCAUACAUCACAGUUAUGAUUUUGUCGGGGGCAGCAAAGGGAGAUUCUGAUAUAGAUAGUAGGAAAGAGUAAGGCUGGAAAGGCUGAAGGUGUAGCCUCAGGUUGGUGCUCCCUCGGCAUGGUUGGACAUGGCUUGGUCCAUGGUUGUGCCAAUGGGCUCCUGUCUGGACCCUUAACCUCUAAGGGGAAUUUGAAUGGUGCUGUUGGCUAUGGAAUGGCAGAGGGAUGCUGGAAGCAUUAUAGCUGUGCCAUAGGAGACAAUGUGUAAGAGGCUGGUUUUUAUCCCUUCAGUUCUGAGGCCGAAUCCAGGGAAUGGGAAGCGACCAGGUCCCCGCAGCCGGUAGAUGGCACUGAUUCAUUUCACUGCUCCAUGGAAGCCUCCAGUGCGCUGCAGCCUCCCCCCUGGACCUUUUACACCUUCUGCCUUUAGAGGCAGCCGUCACGGAGAACAUAUUUCGAGGGUGAGCAUGGCGGAGAAGAGCUUAAGGGUGGAGGUGGCCCUUUGCUGCAUGAUCACUUGGCCUCUGCUGCGGGAUGGCUGCAUCACUCCUAGGUCCAGCUACUGAAUCAGAGACAGCACAGACACCAGCAGCUCCCUGGAGGUCAGGAGUCUCCAUGCCAGAAGUGUUUGGAGGAUCCAGGGAUGCAGAUGGACCACCUGAAAUUGAGUAUUUCCAGUUGGGAGAGAUGUGAAGGAUACUCUGAAUCUCACAAAGGGAGUGUGAGAAGGCAUCCAUCCAUCUAGCUGUGUCCCCAGGCGGUUACCCUUACACAGACCAGGAUGGCUCAGACAAGACAUCUAGAGCCUGGAUAAGGAAUGAGGCAGGGGCAGGAAAAGCAGCAGGCCUGCAGCUUGUGCACAGAAGCCAUUUGCGAAGGCUGUGAUGCUGCUGAGCAGCCUCUGCAGCAUGGGCAGGAGAGGCUCCUGCUGCUCUCCAGUGUCAGCAGGGUCCAUGGGGAGCUCUGUCCUGUCCCUGCUGUGCUUAAGCCUUGCCGGAUGCGACCAAGGACCCAGCUUGGAGCCAGAGCUGGGUCUAAAGAGCCUCCAUCACUCAAUGCUCCCAAACAAUGUGGAGUCUGAACCCUGGCAUCUGCAUAGCUCCUGAGUAGGACCAAAGGGAUGUGGUGGGGGAGCUGCACGUUGGCACCAGCGAAAUCCCAGGCUGGUAAAUGUUGGCUUUGGAGGAAGAGCAAGUUCUAGCAGGGAUGAGCUGUGCCUUCAUCUCACCCCGCAUGCAGUGGGCUCAUGCAUACCUUCUCUUUGCUGGUGUUUGUUAGUGCUGCUGCUGGGAAGAUCCUGAUGGGAAUCAGGCUCUUGGCUCGGGCAGUUGCCUGUUGAAAGAAAUCAAUACCAUGAAGUAUGCACCUCACCAUGGGUGAGGUGCAAUACGGGUGUUGUGGCAGGGGGUUGUAAACCCUGCUUUCUGGAGCUGCCCCCAUGCUUUCUGUAUUCCCUCUUUCUCUGAAAUCCAAACCUUUUCCCAGCUCCUUCCUUUGCCUUGAUCCUGCUCAUCCUGGGGAGGAGAGGAGGUUGGCAGGGCAGGAAUUCCAGGCAAGAGAGCCAUAAACUGCUGCUGUAUUUUGCACAGAGCCAUGCGUGCCCCCACCACAGGUACUGCUGUG